CAAUAAUUAUGAAUGCAUUGCAAUAUAUUAUGUUUAAUAAAUUCACUUUAUAAACAAAUUAUCUUAUUAAAUCUGACUUUUUUGUGAUUUUAGUUUAAAGUUAGUAAGAUUCUAAAUUGCAUGCUAAAGUAUACUGCAACCCAUUGCAUUCAUUUGCAGCACCUUGGCAUGAUUAGGAUUGCCACAAGCUGUGCUACGUCUAUCUUUUUUUGUCUCUUUCUUUUUGCAUUUUCUUUGUCUCUCCUUGCAUACCUUCAAAUCCUGUUUAUCCUAGGCCCUUUCUCCUUAGAUCUUCAAUGUCUACUUUCAUGGGAAAAAUUUCCUUACUUGUGAUUGGAUCUGAAUUACUAUCAUUCAGCUCUUCAUUCUACCUUUCUCUUCAGUACUGUAACAAGACAAUAUUUUG
rnacentral:lncRNA from 1 species